UCCUCUCCAUGCACUGGGCAAGGU
rnacentral:misc_RNA from 1 species